UACAGAGGUCCCAAGCGUUGUUCGGAUUUACUGGGCGUAAAGGGUGCGUAGGUGGUCGGGUAAGUCUCAUGUGAAAUCCCGCAGCUUAACUGCGGAACGGCAUGGGAUACUAUUCGGCUCGAGGAUUGGAGGGGGGACUGGAAUUCCCGGUGUAGCAGUGAAAUGCGUAGAUAUCGGGAGGAACACCAGUGGCGAAGGCGAGUCCCUGGACAAUUCCUGACGCUGAGGCACGAAAGCCAGGGGAGCAAACAGG
rnacentral:rRNA from 1 species